UAGGGAAUUUUCGGCAAUGGACGAAAGUCUGACCGAGCAACGCCGCGUGAGUGAAGAAGGUUUUCGGAUCGUAAAACUCUGUUGGUAGAGAAGAACGUUGGUGAGAGUGGAAAGCUCAUCAAGUGACGGUAACUACCCAGAAAGGGACGGCUAACUACGUGCCAC
rnacentral:rRNA from 1 species